CCCAGCUGAAGGCAAAUGUCUAGGUUGUCUUGUACCUAGGUAAGUAUUACACUGCUGGGAGAAAAGCAGCCAAUAGGUGGUGGGCAUUUUGGACCUGGUUAAUGCCAAAUUUGUGUUAACUAUACCAGUAUGCCAGCAUA
ensembl:snoRNA SNORA74 Small nucleolar RNA SNORA74